CGAAGGUCCCUAGCGUUGUUCGGAAUUAUUGGGCGUAAAGCGCUUGUAGGUGGCUUUGAAAGUUAGGUGUGAAAGCCCCGGGCUCAACCCGGGAAGUGCACUUAAAACUCCUUAGCUUGAGUACGGUAGAGGUGAGUGGAAUACCUGGUGUAGUGGUGAAAUACGUAGAUAUCAGGUGGAACAUCAGUGGCGAAGGCGGCUCACUGGACCAGUACUGACACUGAGAAGCGAAAGCAUGGGGAUCAAACAGGAUUAGAUACCCUGGUAGUCCAUGCCGUAAACGAUGGAUACUUGUUGUUGGAGGUAUUGACCCCUUCAGUGACGAAGCUAACGCGUUAAGUAUCCCGCCUGGGAAGUACGGUCGCAAGAUUA
rnacentral:rRNA from 1 species